CGGAACUUUCCAGAGAUGGAUUGGUGCCUUCGGGAACCGUGAGACAGGUGCUGCAUGGCUGUCGUCAGCUCGUGUUGUGAAAUGUUGGGUUAAGUCCCGCAACGAGCGCAACCCUUAUCCUUUGUUGCCAGCGGUCCGGCCGGGAACUCAAAGGAGACUGCCAGUGAUAAACUGGAGGAAGGUGGGGAUGACGUCAAGUCAUCAUGGCCCUUACGACCAGGGCUACACACGUGCUACAAUGGCGCAUACAAAGAGAAGCGACCUCGC
rnacentral:rRNA from 1 species